GAAAAUAGAAAAAUUUAGCAAAGAAAAAAAAUUUGGCAAAAGAAGCUCAACGAAAGACACAAGGCUAAGUACUGGUUUGGAGGAACAAAACGCCGAACCAGCGAACCCAGGGAUGCAUCUGUCAAUCCCUCAUCCUCUCGAUCCCGUCACGUUUCUAAUCCGCCGCUUAGAAUCGAUUAGAGCUCGCAUAACCAUUCAUCUUUCGACGAUGCUAGUCUCACCGCAGGCGGGCACCGCCGCCAGCAGUGUCGAUUUGUUGACGCCAUCACUUCCGUUGUUGAAAGACGAAGAGAGAGUGGCAGUCAAGAGGCACUAGGUUGUCGAACAACCUGAGCUGGAGAUCGCAACGAUGUCGUUUCGAGGUGUCAUCUUCCUCGAUUAUUCUGCCUCCCUCAGUCGCGCCUGAAGCACAUGAGGAUUGGGUUGUAGUGACCAUUAGUCGCCGAUUGACAUCCAGGAAGAGCACGUCAAGGACGAGAUGAAGAAUCUAAACAGGGGAGCUGUUUCGCGCAUAAGAGGAGGCCAACAGGAUCCAAUUGGUGUCGCUCGUCAUCGGGUAAUUCAUGGAGAUGGUCGAUCAGAACAACGAGAUUAUGGGCUCUACCACUAGGUCCAAUACUAUAUUAGGAUUCUCAGCACCAUCAAUCAGGAGCUCCUCAAGCCUUUGGUUGCUUAAAUCUUUUCAGAUUUUACAACUCUAAUUCAAUAUUGGGUUUUAGCGUUCUAGGGAUUUCUCCUCAUUUCUCUGCUUCAUAUUCGAUAUUUCUUUAAAAUUUUGGAAUUUUCCAUCUGUUCAUCCAAUCAGCAAAGUAUAUUAUACAUAUACUAAAACUCAGCUUGGCUGGAACAGUGAAAUGACGGAAAUGCCCUUUGUUUCUUCUAAUCCCACUUUUUGUUGUUUGCUUGGUACAGUAAAAUUCCAAUUUUACCCUUUUUUGCCACGGGUCGAUCAUCGUUGAAAGGCUACGCUCAGACUUUCUUCUCGACUUUUCCUUCCAUUUCCAUUUCUCUCUCUGCGGUCUUCUCUUUUCUCCUCUCCUCAUCUCUCUAUUCCGUUUACCUUUUCCCUGCCAUCAACCCUCCCUUCCUUUUUCUCUCGCUCACAGCCACCGCAAAACCCCUCAAGCCCUCAUAUCCUCAAACCAACAAAUUUAAUUCCACAAUCUCUCACACUUAAUUUAAACCCUCGAACCAAAAACUCGAUUUCAAGUAUCAAGCAGCCAGGUUUUUGGGUGUUGGAAUUUCGGCGAAUUGUUUCUUGCCAUUAUUACCAAUCUUCAUGGCUUUGUCUCUCAGGUUCGAUGCUCAAAUUUAAGGUUUUUUGUUGGAGAAGUGGUGGACCUUUUAAUUGUGCCUACUGUGUUGGUGGUCGUUGCUAGACCGGCAAGAAAAAGUCUACUGUGCAUAACACCAUGCCUGCAUUUUUGCAGCAAGGACCAAAUCAAGUAGAACUGUUUGGGAACUGCUAAUAUACUGAUUUUGUGGAAUUUUUGUUCUUUGCAAGGUUUUUUUGGCUGAUAUAAUACUUUUGCCAUCACUCUCCAGCUACGUAAAAUCUACUUAACUAAUGGAAAGGACCUAGCGUUUGGCUGUGGUAAAGUUUUGGUUGGUAAGUUCCUAUUAUGACUCAUGUGAAUCUGUUGCAGAGUGGUUUUAGUGUGUGAAUUUCAUCUUUCAAGCAUUAUCUAAAUUGCUUGAGUGCUUGAGUGCUUCAAUGUUUGAAUUUGAUCUUUCAAAUUGUAUUUGCAUCGGUCCAUUAGGAAAUUUUUUAUUCUAAUGUAAUGGAUGGCUUUGGUUAAUAAUGCAUAUCAAGACCUUUGAAUCUAUUGAUUCAGAUGUUUGAACACAGUUGAAGCUCACUAUGUUGUUUUUGCAGUUUGAUUAGCAAUUGUUAAUUAGAGUUGCCUAAUUUUUUUACUAAGAGUUUAGGGCCAAUUAACAAAAGUAUUGAGUGAUAUGUAAGAGUCUAGAAGCAAACCUUUUGGAGAAGUUGAAGUCAUUUAGAGUAAACUAAUAAAAUUUGACUAUCCUGGCUAACAUGUUUUUUUUUUUACUAUUGACAACUUCGCAACCAUAUUUACUGAUUGCAAGAACUGGUUGGAUUUGAAACCCGCAGCAUCGCGCGAGCAAUUUUUGCUAGUAGUUAUCUAAAGUUGGGAAAGUGACCACUUUCGUCACUCGAAUUUGGUGUUGAAUUGAGAAGUAGUACCAAUUUUGAUAUAGGUUUGUAUUUGCAGUGAGUUAUUUUGAAAAGAAUGAAAUCGAUUUGGAAGGUGAAAAAUUCGAAAGAGAUUUCCAUUGUUGUACGAGCUUUCUUCUCCUUCUUUUUCUUCUUCAGCAUAAGAAGCUUGAGUGGAAAAUUUGAAAACAGAUUUGGAAGGUUAACCACUAAUGCAACAGAGAGAGAGCUCGAGCUUCUUCUCCUUAGCUUAAUUAAUGGAAAAAAAUAAAAUAAAAUCGUAGUUGGGAUAAGAUAUUGCAAUAUUCAAAAGGUGAGGUAUGUGUUUGUUAUGUGACUAAAAGUUAAGGUAAUAAAUGUAAUUUACCCUUGAUUUUUCAAUCCGGGCUUGGAAGAAGAGAAAGCAAAUGAAAAAAAGAAAAAGGAAAGGAAUGGUAGAGUGAUGAGGGUGAGUAAACCUGACAUUUGUGUUGUGUUUUUCAUGUUUGUGU